GAUGAAGAACGCAGCGAAAUGCGAUAAGUAAUGUGAAUUGCAGAAUUCAGUGAAUCAUCGAAUCUUUGAACGCACCUUGCGCUCCUUGGUAUUCCGAGGAGCAUGCCUGUUUGAGUGUCGUGAAAUUCUCAACCUGCCGUACUUUUUACAAGUCCGUCAGGCUUGGAUUAUGGGACUUGCUGGUUUCUUCUGAAAUCAGCUCUCCUUAAAUGUAUUAGCACAAUCUCUGCUGACCAUCUUUGGUAUGAUAAUUAUCUAUACCAUUGAGAAUCAGUUUUCCGCCUUGGAAGGAUUUUGCUUCUAAUCGUCUUCGCAGACAACUUGACAAUUUGACCUCAAAUCAGGUAGGACUACCCGCUGAACUUAAGCAUAUCAAUAAGCGGAGGA
rnacentral:misc_RNA from 1 species